CCUACGGGUGGCAGCAGUCGAGAAUCAUUCACAAUGGGGGAAACCCUGAUGGUGCGACGCCGCGUGGGGGAAUGAAGGUCUUCGGAUUGUAAACCCCUGUCAUGUGGGAGCAAAUUAAAAAGAUAGUACCCCAAGAGGAAGAGCCGGCUAACUCUGUGCCAGCAGCCGCGGUAAUACAGAGGUCUCAAGCGUUGUUCGGAAUCACUGGGCGUAAAGCGUGCGUAGGCUGUUUCGUAAGGCGUGUGUGAAAGGCGCGGGCUCAACCCGCGGACGGCACAUGAUACUGCGAGACUAGAGUAAUGGAGGGGGAAGCGGAAUUCGCGGUGUAGCAGUGAAAUGCGUAGAUAUCGAGAGGAACACUCGUGGCGAAGGCGGGUUCCUGGACAUUAACUGACGCUGAGGCACGAAGGCCAGGGGAGCGAAAGGGAUUAGAUACCCGUGUAGUC
rnacentral:rRNA from 1 species